ACGGAAGGCAGCAGUGAGGAAUAUUGGUCAAUGGGCGGAAGCCUGAACCAGCCAAGUCGCGUGAGGGAAGACGGCCCUACGGGUUGUAAACCUCUUCUGCGCGGGGGUAAAGUCGGGGACGGGUCCCCGAUUGCAAGUACCGCGCGAAAAAGGAUCGGCUAACUCCGUGCCAGCAGCCGCGGUAAUACGGAGGAUCCGAGUGUUAUCCGGAUUUAUUGGGUUUAAAGGGUGCGCAGGCGGCCCGUUAAGUCAGCGGUGAAAUGUCGGGGCUCAACCCGGGCACUGCCGUUGAAACUGGGGGGCUUGAGUACGGAUGAGGUCGGCGGAAUGUGACGUGUAGCGGUGAAAUGCAUAGAUAUGUCACAGAACACCGAUUGCGAAGGCAGCCGGCCAAUCCGCAACUGACGCUCAUGCACGAAAGCGUGGGGAUCGAACAGGAUUAGAUACCCUGGUA
rnacentral:rRNA from 1 species